GAGCGAACGCUGGCGGCAGGCCUAACACAUGCAAGUCGAACGAACUCUUCGGAGUUAGUGGCGGACGGGUGAGUAACACGUGGGAACGUGCCUUUAGGUUCGGAAUAACUCAGGGAAACUUGUGCUAAUACCGAAUGUGCCCUUCGGGGGAAAGAUUUAUCGCCUUUAGAGCGGCCCGCGUCUGAUUAGCUAGUUGGUGAGGUAAAGGCUCACCAAGGCGACGAUCAGUAGCUGGUCUGAGAGGAUGAUCAGCCACAUUGGGACUGAGACACGGCCCAAACCCCUACGGGAGGCAGCAGUGGGGAAUCUUGCGCAAUGGGCGAAAGCCUGACGCAGCCAUGCCGCGUGAAUGAUGAAGGUCUUAGGAUUGUAAAAUUCUUUCACCGGGGACGAUAAUGACGGUACCCGGAGAAGAAGCCCCGGCUAACUUCGUG
rnacentral:rRNA from 1 species